rnacentral:rRNA from 1 species
UACAGAGGCCCCAAGCAUUAUCCGGAAUCAUUGGGCGUAAAGAGCUCGUAGGCGGCUUGUUGCGUCUGCCGUGAAAAUUCACAGCUUAACUGUGGACGUGCGGGCGAUACGGGCAGACUUGAGUACUACAGGGGAGACUGGAAUUCCUGGUGUAGCGGUGAAAUGCGCAGAUAUCAGGAGGAACACCGGUGGCGAAGGCGGGUCUCUGGGUAGUAACUGACGCUGAGGAACGAAAGCGUGGGUAGCGAACAGG